AAUGAAAGAUGAUUUUGACAGAGAUCAGACCAUUGAGAGGGCUAAGCGCAUUUUGAUUGGUGAACAAAUGGAAGUCUUAUGUGCGAAGCAUAAGGACUAUCUCAGUGCUUUGAGGCGGUAUCAUGAAUUGGAACGAUCCACCAUGGAGCAGGUGGAGAAGGUGAAGAAGGUAGUAAAAGUGGGUGCCGCUGUUGGCCUUGUGGGAGGGCUUCUGCUGAUACUGGCAAAGAUCUAGAUUUGAGCAGUGUGCAGUUUGCUUCUUCUUUUUGUGUAGAACUGAGCUGGCAGAUGACUCGGCCGAGCUGGUAUUUUGGAGUGGCAGAGUAGUAACAUUUGACUGUUUAGUUGACUAUUUUCUCUAUGCCGGUUUAACGGGGCAUUCGUCGGAAGGCUUCUGCUGAUAAAGAUCUCAAUUAGAGCACCUAGGAGUUUGCUGCUACUUAUUUCUGUGUAGAACUGAGUUAACCAGAUGAGCAUGCUGAGCUGGUAUUUAGUGUGGUGGAGUAGAAUUUAACUGUUUUAUUUAUUUGGACCGAUUUGAACCUGCAGUAGUAGCUAAGACAAGGCCAAGUUAUACAAUUGCUAUCAUUGCAGUUAUCUCUAUGUAAUACCAGGAGAUAACUCGAUUUAUGCUA